rnacentral:rRNA from 1 species
CUAGAGUUUGAUCAUGGCUCAGAUUGAACGCUGGCGGCAUGCUUUACACAUGCAAGUCGAACGGGGUGAGGGGGCAACUCUUCAUUCAGUGGCGAACGGGUGAGUAAUGCAUCGGAACGUGUCCCGUAGUGGGGGAUAACGCCGCGAAAGCGGCGCUAAUACCGCAUAUGCUCUACGGAGGAAAGCAGGGGACCUGAGAGGGCCUUGUGCUGGGGGAGCGGCCGAUGUCCGAUUAGCUUGUUGGUGGGGUAACGGCCUACCAAGGCUGCGAUCGGUAGCUGGUCUGAGAGGAUGAUCAGCCACACUGGGACUGAGACACGGCCCAGACUCCUACGGGAGGCAGCAGUGGGGAAUUUUGGACAAUGGGGGCAACCCUGAUCCAGCCAUGCCGCGUGCGGGAAGAAGGCCUUCGGGUUGUAAACCGCUUUUAGCCGGGAAGAAAAGUCUACGGAUAACACCCGUGGGUUUUGACGGUACCGGCGGAAUAAGCACCGGCUAACUACGUGCCAGCAGCCGCGGUAAUACGUAGGGUGCGAGCGUUAAUCGGAAUUACUGGGCGUAAAGCGUGCGCAGGCGGUUCGUUGUGUCGGUGGUGAAAGCCCCGGGCUUAACCUGGGAAUGGCCAUGGAAACUGGCGAACUGGAGUGAAUGU